rnacentral:ribozyme from 11 species
AAAGAAAACGAUGAUGUUGGAAAGAAAGACGCUUCAAGUAAAGGAAAUGUUAUUUUUCUAUUUUGUUUCCUUUUCAUCAUUUGUCUGGUCGUCCAUCUUGAAGAUGAGAGCGCUUCGAUGCGCUCACGACCAGACAAAGAAAAGGAAACAAGAGAAAAAUAACGAUGGGCCCAUAAAUCCUUUUCUUUUCUUUUCUUAUCAUGGUCGUUCAUCUUCAAGAUGAGCGCUUAAGCGCACGACCAAAGAAAAGAAAGAAAAGUAU